GGGAAUUUGGCCUGCAAGAAGGCUGAGCGUUGCCACGGGUGGCCCCUUUUGUGCUUCUGUUUGAGUGCCAUCGAGAGAGAGAAAGGAAGGAAAAUUGAAACCUGGAAAUAAAGGAACCGCAAGCAGCCAUCCUUGCUGGAGCGUCUCCGUCCCUCGCCCCGAGGCCUGUACCGCCCUCCUAGACACUGUGCAAAAGGAACUGCCGCGAUUAUCCCCACAACCAGGCGCAUUUCUGGCCUCGGAACACCGCGCACGCAGACACACGCACCGAAGCUCCCGCGACCGCCUGCCCGUGGCGCGCACCCUAAACUCCUCGCUCCUCUUACCCUGCCUCCUGCUCGGUACCGCCUAUUCCGCCGCCGCCUGCAGGACUUUGGGAUGGGACUCUGACUUCUCCCGGCUCUUUGCCCCCUGGUUUGUGGCCCAGCCCUCUCUCACGCGCGCUCUCUCUCCACUUCUC